rnacentral:lncRNA from 1 species
UUACAUAAUAUAUAUUUUUGUUAAAGUCAAAUAUAUGACAUGAUGUUGGAUCAUGGUGUUGGUGCCUUAUAUAACAUGUUGGGUUCCAUUGGUGCCUUUGUGUCCCCAAGACAAUGUUGGGUUCCAUGAAUGGGUGGUUUUAGUUCUUUAUUUUAUUUCAUUUGAUAGAUAAGUGAGGCCCACUGGGACUGAAGAUUCCUUCAUUGUACCUUGUGAAUCUUCUCAUUUGAUUCUCAAUUAAACCAUGUUGUACAAUUUGUGCAGAUGAAUGGAUAUGGAAGCUGGGUUUCAGUUUUGAUGCCUGGAGAAGAGACUCCUUCGUUCAUUGCUCAUCCUGCUCCUGCACCAUGUUCCCCUGAACGGAUUUCAUGGCCUUCCCAUCAUCAGAAUAAAACAUUACCUUGUUCUACUUCCAACAUUAUUCCGCCUAAUAUCGACCAAGUAUGAUACAACUGACUUUGAUAAAGUUCUGCAAUCUGCAUGUUUAUGUCAAAAAUAGACUGUUUUGGAGGGUUAUACCAUGAUGUAUAUAGGAUUUAGUCUAGUGCACACUGGCUUUGGCGCGCAUUGAGGUUCAUACGCAUGUUUUAAAAUACUUCUAUAAUUGAUUUUGUAGCUGAAAUCAAUUCUGGAAAAAAGAUUCUACGAGUAGUUUCUUAGUGUGAGAAUUGAUUCUCAAAGAAUAGAAACUGAUCCAAACAUGUGUCCAAACGUUUCUUUUCUAUAUUGACGCCUUGGGAUUUCCCAGUGUAAAUUGGCAGUUCUCAAUGCAUGGAGUGUUGUGAUCUUCGAGUAUGUAAAUCUUUGUAAGAUGAACAACAAAACAAUCAAACAAUAUGAGUGCACGCCCAAACUCAUAAUGUUGUCACGCUGAUAAUAAGUUAAUAACACACGUG